rnacentral:misc_RNA from 1 species
GGCAAUCCCUGAUGCCACCACUCCCUGCAAUUUCAACACACAAAAUUUGAAAAAGAAGCUUCUCGUUCUCUUCGUUUUCAAACUAUACCCACCACUCUCGCAUUAUUGCUUAACCACUUUUGGAUGAUAUCCUAUGUAACAACUAAUAACAAGCUUACAAACAUUUUAAAGAUAUUUUUUAUAUUAAAAGAAUAAAAAAGGUGAUCUAGUUAUUAGCAAUUUAGCAACUGGGUUUGCACAUGUUAAAAGCCUAAAGAGUUACCCUUUAUUUCUGAUGGAAUGUGACUUAUCAGGCUUUUGAACAGUUUCCAAAGUACAUACACGGGGAUAACUCUAUUUGGUCUUUCACUACACAUCUUUUCAUUAUUUUUCUUUUAUUAUUUAAUUUGUAUAAACAAAAGGCACAAACUAAAUUAAUGUAUCAAUUAAUUUGGUCUUAAUUAGUUGCAUGACUCGGUGCCAUGGACAUAUGAAAGGAUUAAGGAAUAAUUAUUUAGAUGUAAGGAGACAAUUAAGGAUACGAGUACUAACUGCAUAGAGGAUGGUGAAUAGUU